rnacentral:lncRNA from 1 species
CUGGCAUCAAGGAGAACAGACAGCACAAGAGAGACCUGAAGCCUGACGCUUUGGACUCAUUCAAGCUGCNCCUGCUACAGACACACUCAGUCAUGGCUCCCCGAAUAAGGCUGAACAUUGCCAAACCUCUUCCGACCAUAAACGAAGCUCUUGAGGAUAUCUUUGAAGAUGUAGCAAGCAACAUGAAAGGUUCUGGAAAUGCUUACAUGAAUCCAAAUUUUUAUUCAAGCGACGACUACCAUCAGUCUAUCUGUCAGCUGGCAAGACCUACCUUUCCAGGGCUGUCAGAAAAUAAGAUUGAGUGCCAAGAUGUAGACAAAGUGGCAAGGCUACAUGGCAGUCCCAGCAUCUUCAGCUUGGAUGGAGCCAGCAGAAUGGUCUCUUGGGAUGAAGUAACCAAUACUCUUCCCAAUUUCAGUUUAUCAGGCAGAAAGAACUUCAUUCUGGACUAUAUCCAAACUUCCUCCAGCUCUAAAGUGGAUCCUUUGGAAGAUCUGUAUACAGAAGCUCACAGAACUCAACAGUCACAGUGUCCUAACUGCAGAGAGAACUCUCAUGUUGACUGUCCACAGGAGAACUUCCAAGAAUCCUGUCUAUGUGCACCUCAAGAAGAUGAUAAAGAAAAAGAAGGUAUGGGCAGCUUCCCCAGGNUCCCCUUCCUAAGACCAAUGAAGAAAGAAAAUAGCUGUUCAGAGCUGAAAGCUCUGAAAAACCACAUCAGGAUGUCGACUCUCAAACAUGGUCCAAACCAGAAGGAAAACGUCCCUCUUGUUGUUCAUGGUAAAUCAGUCUGGCUACAUUCAGAUGAAGAAGUUCUAGUGGAUGGCAAGAUUUUGAAGUCUCCACCCAGAGGGCAGCCACUUCCAAGGGAAGCCUGCACUGAAAGGGAGGGACUGAAACCUGCUGUUUGUAAUCAAAAUGCAAAAGGAAAGCAAGAUGUGGGUUUUCCAGAAGCUGCAAUACUGCAUUUACUUAUGGAGACUUAUUUAUAAAGGACAUUUUCAGUGUGAAUGGUUCCUUCCCUACUACUGUUCUUAAUAUUUUUUAUUUAUUUCUAUUGUGUUUUAUUUGGUCUAAAUUUUUAAACUGAAUUAAAGAGCUUGGU